ACGGGUGAGUAACGCGUGGGAAUCUACCCUAUAGUUGGGGACAACAUAUGGAAACGUAUGCUAAUACCGAAUACGCUCUACGGAGUAAAGGAGCCCACUUCAUGAAAGGUUUCGCUAUAGGAUGAGCCCGCGUUAGAUUAGCUAGUUGGUGAGGUAAAGGCUCACCAAGGCCACGAUCUAUAGCUGGUUUGAGAGGAUGAUCAGCCACACUGGGACUGAGACACGGCCCAGACUCCUACGGGAGGCAGCAGUAGGGAAUCUUCCGCAAUGGACGAAAGUCUGACGGAGCGACACCGCGUGAUGGAUGAAGGCCCAUGGGUCGUAAACAUCUUUCGUCGGGGAAGAAAAUGACUGUACCCGAAUAAGAAGGUCCGGCUAACUUCGUGCCAGCAGCCGCGGUAAUACGAAGGGACCUAGCGUAGUUCGGAAUUACUGGGCGUAAAGCGCGCGUAGGCGGAUAAUUAAGUCAGUUGUGAAAGCCCUGGGCUCAACCUAGGAACUGCAUCUGAUACUGAUUGUCUAGAGUUUAAGAGAGGGAAGUGGAAUUCCAGGUGUAGCAGUGAAAUGCGUAAAUAUCUGGAGGAACAUCAGUGGCGAAGGCGACUUCCUGGCUUAAAACUGACCCUGAGGUGCGAAAGCGUGGGUAGCGAACGGGAUUAGAUACCCCGGUAGUCCACGCCGUAAACGAUGUCAACUAGUUGUUGGUCUUAUUAAAAAGAUUAGUAACGAAGCUAACGCGAUAAGUUGACCGCCUGGGGAGUACGGUCGCAAGAUUAAAACUCAAAGGAAUUGACGGGGCCCCGCAACAAGCGGUGGAGCAUGUGGUUUAAUUCGAUGCAACGCGAAGAACCUUACCCAUCCCUUGGACAUGUAGUGAACUUUCUAGAGAUAGAUUGGUGCCUUCGGGAACACUAACACAGGUGCUGCAUGGCUGUCGUCAGCUCGUGUCGUGAGAUGUUGGGUUAAGUCCCGCAACGAGCGCAACCCUUAUCUUUAGUUGCUACCAUUAAGUUGAGAACUCUAAAGAGACUGCCGGUGAUAAACCGGAGGAAGGUGGGGACGACGUCAAGUCAUCAUGGCCCUUAUGGGAUGGGCUACACACGUGCUACAAUGGGGCGUACAGAGUGUUGCGAUACCGCGAGGUGGAGCUAAUCACUUAAAGCGUCUCUCAGUUCGGAUUGGAGUCUGCAACUCGACUCCAUGAAGCUGGAAUCACUAGUAAUCGUAGAUCAGCAAUGCUACGGUGAAUACGUUCCCGGGUCUUGUACUCACCGCCCGUCACACCAUGGGAGUUGAUUUCGCCCGAAAUCGGAAUGCCAAACUGGCUACCGCUUACGGCGGAAUUAGCGACUGGGGUGAAGUCGUAACAAGGUAACC
rnacentral:rRNA from 1 species